CCCUUAGAUGUCCGGGGCCGCACGCGCGCUACACUGAUGCAUGCAACGAGUUUAUAACCUUGGCCUGAAGGGUCUGGGUAAUCUUUUGAACGUGCAUCGUGAUAGGGAUAGAUUAUUGCAAUUGUUAAUCUUGAACGAGGAAUUCCUAGUAAACGCGAGUCAUCAGCUCGCAUUGAUUACGUCCCUGCCCUUUGUACACACCGCCCGUCGCACCUACCGAUUGAAUGGUUCGGUGAAGAUCUCGGACUUCGAUAUUUAUUCUUUAUUGAGUUUAUAUUGUGGGAAGUUAUCUAAACCUCAUCAUUUAGAGGAAGGUGAAGUCGUAACA
rnacentral:rRNA from 1 species